GUUGAAAAUAGUUCGCGUGAUUUCAAAUGUUUGUGAGCAAACAAUGAGGCUCUUACUUCGAGCUAUUGUUUUUGCAAUCUGUGCAACAUUGUACAGCGUGUACGUGAAAGCGUUUGAGCGGUGUGAACUACAGUGGCUGGUGGUGGUUUAAUCUGUCGGUUGUGGAACGUCUAAGUUUGCGGUUGAUUUGGAUGCUAGUUCCGAAUCUGAUGCUAUUCCGGGGUUCGUUUAGCGGAUUUCAGCCGUUUUCGAGGUUGAGUUCGUGCGUAGCGGCAGGCCAUGGAUGGAGUCGUUGCGAGCGAGUAAUGAAACUCGUUCUCGCCGACGUUGGAUCAAGAAAGGCAAACUGGACGGGAAAUCACGGGUCCCCAAUUCUACGAAAUGCCAGAAGAACACCAUCGUCGAGCAUCUGACUGCUUGACGAAAAAGUUUAGUCGUCGUUAUUCGUUGGUCGGACAUUGCAGAUACGUGCCCAUGAAUUUAAGCUUUGUUGAUUGCGGCGCGUGUGUUGAUGAUCAAGGGCAUGCUUUCAAAGACGUGUAGGUGCUGAAUCAAGUUUCUGUUGUAAUUGGUUACUGUUUCGGGUGGUUGCUGUGACAGCUAGCCUCGCCCCUAUCGAAACCGAUUUGGGAAGGCAAGGCAGCUGCCACAGCCGCACUAAACUAACCUGAGACAUCAUAAACUCGGUUAGUUUAGUGAUAGGUUAGGUUAGUUUAGUGCGGCUGUGGCAGCCUGCCUUGCCUUCCCAAAUCCGUUUUCGAUGAUGAGGUGAAGCCAACUUUCCGAUUACGAGGCUAUCUGAUUAUGAGGUGAAUGCCGUUGUGUGAUUUGAGGCCGCUUCGAUACUGCUACUAAUUUGAAGAAAGUGAAAGAAGCGCAGUGCAAAGGAAUGAAUUUCGACCUUGCUGUUCCGACGUCACAGAGGAUUUAGGUAGCAAAUUGCAGACGCAUAUUUACAUCAGGGUCAUUCUACGUCGAAUGAUCCAAAUGUCCUACGCCCCCCCCCCCCAUCAGUUCUUUAUAAAGAAUGCAAAAGAAAAUACUUCAGACUACAAAUAGGCAUUUCCCGAAGUCGAAUCUUUCUCCAGUUACGACGUCUGCAAAUUUAUGCAUUAGGGCAAGUCCGCCCUCUCGACUUCUUCCUUCGUAAUAUGGUUUGCGUAAUUUGUGUAAAUUUUGAGUUCUCGAAACUGAAGAAAAGUUAAAUAUUUUUCGCCAACUCUUUGGUAAAUGCUUAUUGGUAGGACGGAUUAUCUAUGGUAUUUUUUAAAGACAACGUCCCUUAGAAGUCGGCCCAGGACGCACAUUCCCCCAGGGCGUGAGUCGUGACCCACAUACGUGAGGCCGACAACGGCAAGCCCUAUCACCACCACCACCACCUAAAGACAACUGAGGGGGUGUCGGGCACAUACCUCUCAACUCUCCUGCAUUUCGUUCAGUCUCCCGACAGUACGGACCACUCCCGGAAAAUUGGGGACCCGGGCUUUUAUUCUGUAAUUUUCCUUUAAGUGCUGCGGGAACGUAUUCCUGGAGAAUUAGACAGCCCAUAACAUGUGUUUCGCGGCAUGACCAUCCAUGGCUGGAGGUUGCGGCAGAUAGCGUGUUUCGUUCUGUCAGCGUUUCUCGAAAGGUGUGCUAUUGUCCUAUCGUCAGUCCACUCUGGUACAGUAGUUUCUUCUCCACCGAUCGCGCUCUCCAAACAGAAGAAAUAUCUGUACGUGCCUUUUCGCAGGUUUUCUUGUUGAACACAACGAGUCGCAGAGUAUAAGCGACCACGUGUGAUCGCUGUUCCAGAAGAUAUUCCCAAAUUGGGAAGGAGCGAAGGGCUACAGGUGUGGAAGAACGUAGACCUCUGGCACCAUCGCUGAAAUGGGUGCGGCUGCACGAAAUGCAGUGUCCUGAAAUGAUGAAUCUUCGCAGUUGCGGUUGACGGAAGCAACGAUAGCGCCUCGCAGCUCCUCCCGAUAGUGGCUACUUAUGACAUAGCGGAAUUGCAACAGAGUGGCAAUACUAUUUCAAAUGCACACGAUUAAUGUGUCUCCUCUCCCCAGUUGCACAGCAGGCAGACUCCCGAAUUUUGAGUUUGUCAGGUUGGCAGGUAUGCGACCAGGUCGUUUGGAUCAUUUGGCGAAUGCAUGACCCCUAAAGAUUGCCUGGUGUCGUUUUUUCAAAGGGUUAAUUUACAUUAGUAGAAUAUUUGUCAGCUGAACAUAAGAAUUUUCAACUGACAAAUAUUGGGCUGUGGUGUUAUGAACAUAGCAUUACCAUCUAGUCAAUGGCUUUCUGUAUGCCACCUGGAAGGCACUAAGCUGCAGGCAUGCUACUAAAAAGGUAGUACAUUCGGCAGCUCUUUUGGACGCUCAGUAUCUAUUGAAAUUUGUUCGUAAAUUAUUUGAGCUUGAUAUUUUACAUUUUGGACUGGCAAUAUUAUUUCUAGAAGUUCACCAAUAUGCGUUGUGAUAUUAUGAACAUUACUAUCUAGCCAUUGUCUAGCCCUUUAUAAUAGCCGUACCAUCACUGUCUUGUCGCAGUGCUCCGCGAACGUAAGGUGCAUACGCUGGUGACUUUAGAAGUGUUUUACCUUUACUUAAAAUAAAGUUUUGUCAAAAUGUG